rnacentral:rRNA from 1 species
AUGUCUGGAACCAGCACCGGCGACGGCAACCGGCCGCUGCUAUUCCGGACCAUGAAGGUCAAGGGAAGCAUCCUGCAUCCUUAUAGGUUCUUGAUUCUUGUAAGCUUGGUCUCCAUCGUAGCCUUCUUCGCGUGGCAUGUAGAGCACAGGAACCACGAUGGCAUUUGGCUCUGGGCCACGUCCAUGGUUGCAGACGCCUGGUUCGGCUUCUCAUGGCUCCUCAACAACCAACUCCCCAAGCUCAACCCCAUCAAACGCGUGCCGGACCUCGCCGCCCUGGCGGAACGGCACAGCGAAGCCAUCCUUCCGGGAAUCGACGACUUUGUCAUGACUAUCAACCCCGUGGAUGAACCCGUCAUGUACACGGUGAACACCAUCCUCUCUAUCCUCGCCGCCGACUACCCCAUUGACAAGUACGCCAGCUACCUCUCUGACGACGAUGGCUCAUUGGUGCACUAUGAGGCAAUGAUCCACGUUGCUCAUUUUGCUGCUUUGUGGGUCCCGUUUUGCCGGAAGCAUUGCAUCGAGCCAAGGUCCCCGGAGAACUAUUUUAGGAUGAAAACCAGGUCGUGUGUCGGGGGUAUGGCAGGAGAGUUCAUGAGUGAUCACAGGUGUGUGCGCAAAGAAUAUGGUGAGUUCAAGGUGAGAAUAGAUUCCCUUUCUACAACCGUCCGCCGACGGUCUGAUGCCUACAACAAAGGAGAUGAUGGUGUACAUGCCACUUGGAUGGCUGAUGGGACACAAUGGGCGGGUACAUGGAUUGAGCAAGCUGACAACCAUCGUAGAGGACAACAUACAGGAAUUGUUCAGGUCAUGCUCGGCUAUCCAAGUUGUAAACCACAGCUUGGAUCUUCAGCGAACACCAAAAAUCCAAUUGACUUGAGCAACAUUGACAAAAGACUCCCAAUGCUCGUAUACAUUUCCCGGGAGAAGCAUCCCGGUUAUGACAACCAAAAGAAGGCAGGCGCCAUGAACGUGAUGCUCCGCGUCUCCGCCUUACUCUCAAAUGCGCCUUUUGUCAUCAACUUUGACUGGGACCACUACAUCAACAACUCGCAAGCUCUCCGUGACCCUAUGUGCUUCAUGCUCGACCCUCGCGGCGGUCAGAACACGGCCUUCGUCCAGUUACCACAACGCUUCGACGAUGUCGACCUGACAGAUCGCUACUCCAACCACAAUCGUGUCUUCUUCGAUGGCACCAUGCUUUCGCUCAACGGCCUCCAAGGGACAACCUACCUUGGCAUAGGCACCAUGUUCCAUCGAGUCGCACUCUAUGGCAUGGAGCCACCACGAUAUAGAGCGGAGAGCGUCAAGCUGGUACGUAAGGCCGCUGAGUUGGGUAACUCGACGCAAUUCCUGAACUCAAUACCGGAUGGCGCAAUCCAAGAGCGGUAUAUCACCCCGGUGUUGGUCGACGAGGGGUUUAGCAAUGACAUAACCACCUUGAUGACGUGUGCUUAUGAGGAUGGUAGUCCAUGGGGUAGAGUCAUCGGGUGGGUGUACAACAUCGCGACGGAGGAUGUGGUGACCGGAUUCCGCAUCCACUGGCAAGGGUGGCGUUCCAUGUAUUGCUCCAUGGAGCCAGCUGCAUUCCGCGGAAUGGCACCAAUCAACCUCACCGAUCGCCUCUACCAGGUGCUCCGGUGGUCAGGCGGAUCCCUCGAGGUGUUCUUCUCCCGCAGCAUCGAUCUGCAGCGCAUCGCUUACCUCAACAUGUCGAUCUACCCGAUCGCCACGAUGUUCGUCCUGGCCUACAGCUUCUUCCCGGUGAUGUGGCUCUUCUCCGAGCAAUCGUACUACAUCCAGAGACCGUUCGACAUGUACAUCAUGUACCUCGUAGCUGCCAUAGCCAUGAUGCACGUGAUCGGCAUGUUUGAGUUGAAAUGGGCGGGGAUCACGCUGCUGGACUAG